UUUGGUUUUCCCGUGUUCGCCGAGUUCAGUCUGCCCGUCACGCGGUUGUAGCACUUCUCUGAAAUUCCAUCAGCUCCCCGCCCUCGCCGCCAAAAUUCUUCUCUCCAUAACUAUAAGGCUCGGAACUCAUCGGACGACCGGUGGAGAAGCCUUGGUCUGCAUCAUAUAUUCUGCAGGACCUUCCCUUUCACCGCCGCUCUGCCAUGAAAGCUCCGAAGAAAUCAGCGGUUCUCUACCACUACCCAUGCCCGGACGGGGCGUUCGCAGCCCUCGCGGCUCACCUCUACUUUUCCGCCACCUCGCAACCAGUUUUAUUCUUCCCCAACACCGUCUACGAUCCAAUCAGGGUGGACACACUUCCUUUAGAAAUGCUCAGUGAUGUUUACCUCCUGGAUUUUGUGGGACCCCCUGGAUUUGUUGCUGAGAUAUCUUCAAAAGUUGAGAGUGUGACAAUCUUAGAUCAUCAUAAGACGGCAUUGGAAACUUUGCAUGGAAAUGCUUCCAUUGGCAAUAAUGUGACUAAGGUCAUGGAUAUGAAACGAAGUGGUGCUACAAUUGCAUUUGACUUCUUUAGUGAAAAGCUUUUAGCAAGAAGUAACAUUUCAGAAAAUUAUGCCACAGGCAGCAAUGCUGUGGCUGGGGCAAAAUUUUUGCCUGACGGCAAGUUUGAAAGGGUUGGAAGGCUUUUCAGAUAUAUUGAAGAUGCAGAUCUCUGGAGGUGGGCUCUUCCAUAUAGCAAAGCUUUCAGCAGUGGCUUAAAAGAUAUGAAUAUAGAGUACAAUAUCAAUGUGAACUCAGUUUUAUUUGAUCAGUUAUUGGAAUUGGAUCCCGAGCAUGUUAUCGCUCAUGGCCAAGAGACUUUGUCACAUAAGCAGAGGCUAAUAGAUGAAGUUUUGGAGCAAUCAUAUGAAAUUGCACUAGGAAGUGGAUUGUUUGGACAUUGCUUGGCUGUUGAUGCUGAUUCCAUUUUGAACCUGAGGUGUGAGCUUGGACACCAGCUAGCUAUUAAGAGCCACAAUCUAAAAUUGAGCAGGAAGCCAUUUCAAGAAAGAAAAGACUCUUUUGGUAGAUGGGAUCUCUAAGAAGAAAUCAGGCAUGAAGGAUUCAAACAAGAGGUUGAACCCAAAGAGUAGGAUCAUGAAGAGGAAGAAGGGGAAGAAAGUCUCCAGUACAAGUACCUGUUUUCAUUGCAGUAAGAAAAGCCACUGGAAGAGGAAUUGCAAGAGCUUUCUUGCAAGUGUAAAGGUUAGUGCAAGUGUUGCAUCAAAAGGUAUGUAUAUGAUACAUAUUAUCUUAUCAUUAAGUUUUUCCAUUUCGAAUUCUUGGAUAUUGGAUAUCGUCUAUGAUUUUCAUAUAUGCAAGUCAUUGCAGGGGCUAUGGGGAAUUAGAAAAUUGAAGAAGGAUGACUUCGAGCUUUAUGGUGCUGGAGGAGAGUUCCUUCAGGCUGAAGCUGGUGGAACCUAUCUUUUGGAGUUGCCAUCAGGGGUAUUGGAGCUGUAGUGUACAAAGUUCCAGAGCUUGGAGAUGAUCAAAUGCUAAAAGUAAGCCUCAGAAGUGUGGAUACUGAGGACACAACACCCAUCUCUCAGGUCGUGCAUUAUGUAGCAAUUUUUUAAGAUACAUGAUCCGGAAACAAAUUCAUAUUAGUUACUUCUAUAUCCAGGAAUAUGGAGGUGGUGGUCACCAGAAUGCAAGUUCCUUCAUGCUAAGAGCUGUAGAAUUCGAGACAUGGAAAGUGCAAACUGAACCUCUUACUCAGGCAAAUGAUUGAAUGCUUCUCCUUCGGUUCUGUCAUCCUGCAGUCCAGUAUGCAAGCAGAGGUGAUUUAUGCAUUUGGCUGACUUGCUGGCUAGCAGUGCUCUUCUGUAAAUUGUUCCAUUUCAUCAAAGGAUAUAUUAUUUUUAUGUCCGAGCAUGGCUGAUGCAUUGGCAGAUGCUUUCUUGCAGUCCCACUUAUACAACUGCAUAUAACUGUGGUGAUGUAACAAAAUGCAAUGUAAUAUCGCUUCAUUAUAGCCUAGACUUGCUCCAUGGUAAUCUAGUCUAGGACUGGCUCGUGGGUUUGCUUGUAGACCCAGAUGGAGGUUGGGAAUUCAGACAUGUUUGUGGGGGUUUGGCUGAAUUUUUAGAUUUGAUAAGCUAUUGAUUCUCAUCAAUUUAGUUGUAUUGAACCAAAUAAAUACUACUGGAUUUUUGAACUAUUGAUGCAAAUUAUUUUAAGCCUUCACUUA